GAGUGUUGUGGCGCCAGCGAACGCACGGCCGCAGUAUCCACAUUUGAAGGGUCGGUCGCUCGAGUGUGUCACCACGUGGUUCCUCAAAUCUGAUGGCUGAGAAAAGGACUGGGAGCAGUGGCCGCACUGGUAUGGUCUGAAGGGGGAGACAGUGGAGAGAGAAGGAGGAGGAGGAGGAGGAGGUGAAGCAUAAACACCUCCAUCGCACGCACACACGGACACACACACAGCAGGCAGUGAUGCAAAGUGAAGUGUGUUGAUUGACCCGUAUGGAGUCGGCCUAAUCCAUAUGGAGUUAUAUCUGCGCUGUGAGGACGACUCCUCUGUCCGCCUCGUAUGAAGACAUCAUCCCCCCCGAGACCAGCAGCUAUAAAUCACUGCUCCCGCCUCGUCAAUACACAAUCGAUGGCUCUCUGAACACACAUGCAUACACACACACACACACACACACACACACACACACACACACACACACGCUACGUAUGUGAGUAGACAUGCGCACGUCCGAGCACAAAUGAAAUCACUGGUAAACCCCCCAUACAAACACAUGAAAGCUCCUCCGGCUACUUCUCACUGUGUUGCUUCCACCACCAUCCAUCUCUCGUUCUGUUUCUCUUCGACUGUAUUGACUGUCCUCUCAUCAUCCAGUUGAACUCGUCAAAUCAGCCGAGAACAAAAAGCAAGCGAACAGCCGAUACAGUGUCAUCGCAGACAGCGCUGUGUUUUGCCUUCCGUGUAAACAUUUUCAUCAAUUGGUGUAUGCCAAGGAACACGGUACACUUUCAAUCUGACUACUGCUCAUCUUUGUUUUCUCGUUGCAUCCACUGAGAGUGCAUUGGGACCAGCUGGAUUCAAGCUCUGCAGAGUUUGGUACUUUAGUCCGGCGUAAUUUAACAAGAGUCCUGUGGCACCAAGUGAAGGAGCUGGGGUGCAUUUCUCAGACUUCUAACAGCUGUAAUCAGACCCAGCUGCAGUAAAUUCAAACAAAAGACAACGGAUGACAUCUGAUAGCCAGCGAGAAGCCGGUUUCUCAUGUUUUAAAAAUCAAGUGCCACAACAUUCAAACUAAAUAAAUAGAUUGAAUAAAAGAAGAAAAAAAAAAUCAAAUCAAACAAAAUCCACUGUGUUUAACAAAAGCAAGAUAAAACACAAAAAAGUUAUAUUUACAUGGCUACAGACCACCGUUGUUAAAAUCCACUCGUAUGCCGACACAGAUGAGGUUUUUAUCAUAGUGGCAAACAUGACGGAUACAAAUAGACUUUGAAUGAAUUUCUACAAGCCCGUCCAUCACAGUGAUGGAUCAUUAUUAGGCACUCCUGCGGCUACACGCUGAAAAAAAGAAUAAAGUAAUUUCUCAACACAUCUGUGUGUCCAGCAGGGACAACACACAUCUGUGUUAGUGUUUAAUGCAAAUAUGUCCUCACUGUUGGGUGAUAAAUCUCCUAAAUGUCAACUGUUUAGCAACAUAGAGAAACAGCCCUGUUUUAGCCUGACAUGCAAACAUUUUGAGUUAAUUGUGUUAUUGUGAAUUUUCUCGGCUCACGGAGCCUUGAAGAUUUGUGUUUUACUAAGCUCCACGUGAACACAGCUCCAUCAGACGCUCCUGAUACCUUCGAUUACCUACAGUGCUCCUCUUACCUCAAAACUACCAGUGAGUUAAGUGGUUAACCAAGCAGAGAGAAACUCAACUAAAAUCAUUUAACAGUCCCUGAGAAAGACAAGUAGAUGUCAUUCACACUCCUUCUCUAGAUUUGAUGCGCUCUGUUAACGUGACAAACUUUUGCUCAAUAAGUGACUUAAUACAUUUUCUGUCACUUAGAAGUCACUUUUUUUUUAUGUACGUGACAUCUAUUAUUUUAUCAAAUGGCAAAAAAUGACUCUUUUCUUACAAGGAGCCAAACUGUACAUUUGUGAAUUAAGCUAAAAAUAAAAUACAAAUAGCAGAUCAUCAGAGUGGAUCACUGAGGGCUAACUGUCAAACUAUGACUGUAGAGAUACAAUGAUGAAAGUCAACGAUGGUGUCAUUACUGCUUUAUCUGCACCAAUAAACAGAAUUCCACCACAGACUAAAAGUGAUAUUUUAAUCGCAGUGGGGAAUUAGAGUUGAAUAGUUGUUAGAGAGUUUACUGUAAAUGUUACUUUGCAGGUUAUCCAGUCCUGAGUCUCAAAGGUUUAAGUGGGAAAUGCUGAUCUCAACGGUAAAUGCACUAAAAAUUGUUGGUUUUCUGAAGGAUCCUCAUGUCCGCAACAUUUUUUGCUGUGAUCGUGUUGUGUUUGUUGUGAUUUUGUCAUUGUGUUGAAAAUGCACUUCAUUUUUGAUCCCAAAUGUAACUUUUAAUUGGGUCACUUUCUGUCAGACUCUGCUGUUAUUUCAUCACUAAAGCAGGGGCCCUCCUGUAGAAUAUUUUACUUUUACUGUUUCAAAUAAUGUUGCAUUUCUCCCUGCCGGAAACCACUGUUCUGUCAUCCUGCUGUACAUGUUAUUUGCAUGCUACACUAUG